rnacentral:rRNA from 1 species
CUUCGGGAGCCUAGUAGAGUGGCAAACGGGUGAGUAACGCGUGGGUAACGUACCCUGAUCCUGGGAAUAACCCUCGGAAACGAGGGCUAAUACCGAAUGUGGCGAACGACCGGUUGGUCGCUCGCUAAAGGUGGCCUCUUCUAUGCUGCCGGGUUGGGAUCGGCCCGCGUCCCAUUAGCUAGUUGGUGAGGUAACGGCUCACCAAGGCCACGAUGGGUAGCCGGCCUGAGAGGGUGUACGGCCACACUGGCACUGAGACAAGGGCCAGUCCCCUAUGGGAGGCGCAGGCGGGAAUAGUUCACAAUGGGCGAAAGCCUGAUGACGCGACGCCGCGUGAGCGAAGAAGACCUUCGGGUUGUAAAGCUCUGUCAGGAGGGAAGAAGGCUCUACGGGUUAAUAGCCCGUGGAAUCGACGGUACCUCCAGAGGAAGCCCCGGCUAAAUACGUGCCAGCAGCCGCGGUAAUACGUAUGGGGCAAGCGUUGUCCGGAUUUACUGGGCGUAAAGGGCGCGUAGGCGGUUUGUUAAGUCGAAGGUGAAAUCCUCGGGCUCAACUCGAGAAUUGCCUUCGAUACUGGCAAACUAGAGUGGCGGAGAGGAAAGCGGAACUCUUGGUGUAACGGUGGAAUGUGUAGAUAUCAAGAGGAACACCGGUGGCGAAGGCGGCUUUCUGGACGCACACUGACGCUCAGGCGCGAAAGCGUGGGUAGCAAACAGGAUUAGAUACCCUGGUAGUCCACGCCAUAAACGAUGGGUACUGGGUGUCGGGGGUAUCGACCCCUCCGGUGCCGCAGUUAACGCACUAAGUACCCCGCCUGGGGAUUAUGGUCGCAAGGCUGAAACUCAAAGGAAUUGACGGGGGCCCGCACCAGCGGUGGAACAUGUGGUUUAAUUCGAUGCAACGCGAAGAACCUUACCUGGGCUUGACAUAUAUAUGAAGUAUGUAAGAAAUUAUGUAUUCUGUCUGCUUUUGCAGGUAGCAUAUAUACAGGUGAUGCAUGGCUGUCGUCAGCUCGUGUCGUGAGAUGUAGGGUUAAGUCCCUUAACGAGCGCAACCCUUGCUUUUAGUUGCCAUCAGGUAAUGCUGGGGACUCUAGAAGGACUGCCGAGGUUAACUCGGAGGAAGGUGGGGAUGACGUCAAGUCAGUAUGUCCCUUAUGUCCAGGGCUACACACGUGUUACAAUGGACGGUACAGAGUGCAGCUACGCCGUGAGGCUACGCAAAUCACUUAAAGCCGUUCCCAGUUCGGAUUGGAGUCUGCAAUUCGACUCCAUGAAGUUGGAAUCGCUAGUAAUCGCAGAACAGCAUGCUGCGGUGAUACGUUCCCGGGCCUUGUACACACCGCCCGUCACGCCAUGGAAGUUGGGAGUACCCAAAGU